UUCGUGGUGUUCGGGUCGUUCGUUUUGGUUAUUCCGAGUGCCUUUUUGAUCGGAUCAAAGGUCGUGUGUAGUAUAGUGUGUAGUGUAUAGUGUGAGAUUUUAUGAAAAAACAUUUGCAAAUAAAAAAGGAAUUUAUUAUGCAACCAACAUGAUUGAGAGCUUAUGAUUACUAUGGAAAAACUGGUACUAAUGAUACACUACAUAAUUAUUCAUGGAGUUACAAGUUUUCUGCGAUGAUUGGUUUAUUACGAAAUGGAAGAGAAAUUGCAGGCAUAUUAAAUAAUACCAGUUUCUAGUUUCAGUCAGUUUUAAGAGACAAUCAGAAUUACAAUAUGAUGAUUAACAUCACGUUCAAGGAUCUCCCUUUACAAGAAGACCCUUUAAGAGG